rnacentral:rRNA from 1 species
UACGUAGGGUGCAAGCGUUGUCCGGAAUUAUUGGGCGUAAAGAGCUCGUAGGCGGUUUGUCGCGUCUGCUGUGAAAACCCGAGGCUCAACCUCGGGCCUGCAGUGGGUACGGGCAGACUAGAGUGCGGUAGGGGAGAUUGGAAUUCCUGGUGUAGCGGUGGAAUGCGCAGAUAUCAGGAGGAACACCAAUGGCGAAGGCAGAUCUCUGGGCCGUAACUGACGCUGAGGCACGAAAGCCUGGGGAGCGAACAGG